UACAGAGGGUGCAAGCGUUAAUCGGAAUUACUGGGCGUAAAGCGUGCGCAGGCGGUUGUGCAAGACAGAUGUGAAAUCCCCCGGGCUUAACCUGGGAAUUGCAUUUGUGACUGCACGGCUAGAGUGUGUCAGAGGGGGGGUAGAAUUCCACGUGUAGCAGUGAAAUGCGUAGAUAUGUGGAGGAAUACCGAUGGCGAAGGCAGCCCCCUGGGAUAACACUGACGCUCAUGCACGAAAGCGUGGGGAGCAAACAGG
rnacentral:rRNA from 1 species